UGGCAACAUGCGAUUUAAUUUGGAAUCCU
rnacentral:piRNA from 1 species